rnacentral:lncRNA from 10 species
UUUUUUUUUUUUUUCUUUCAGCCAUUUCUUUUUAUUUACAGUUUGUGUUCAAUGCAAAUCAAUUCCAUAAGAAGUUACUAUGAAUCAAAGCGUAAAUACACAAACACAAUAUACAAUCCAAAAUAGAUGUACAGCAUUCUGGAAUAAAGCAAAAGAGUGUUCAUUCACACACACAGUAGCUUCAAAACGGUUCGAUCUGUUUGUUCUCAUGUAGUUUUGUAAAGAUGGAAAAAAAGGACUUUGGUCAUCAAGACUACUGUGGCCAUAUUAGAUUACUGGAACAUCUAAGCAUCAGUGUGUGACCAUGCGAACAAAAGACUUCGGGGAGUGUCUAUUUUUAAAAAGGUUUCUGUGUUUCGAGGCAGUUGUAAAAGAUUUACUGCAGAAUCAAGCCCACUUUUAGGCUUAGGACCAGGUUCUAACUAUCUAAAAAUAUCCUUUAUUUCUAUUCUUAUUUUCAAGGUAGUAUUAAGUGUCCAUAUUUCUCAAGCCACAUUCAAGGAAAUCAUGUCUUAACUAUUUUGGAUGUUGCCUCUCCUUCAUCUUGUACAUGAAACUCCAGCAGAUUUAAUAUUGGCAUCCAUCAUCUAGUCAAACCUCUCACAUGUUCUUCAAAUCAAUCAAAUUUGGGAUUCUCAACAUUUUCUGUGUCAAUAAAAGGUGUGGAAUUAG